UACGGAGGGGGCUAGCGUUGUUCGGAAUUACUGGGCGUAAAGAGCGCGCAGGCGGUCGUUCAAGUCGCGUGUGAAAGCCCCCGGCUCAACUGGGGAGGGUCACGCGAUACUGAUCGACUGGAAGGCAGGAGAGGGUAGUGGAAUUCCCGGUGUAGUGGUGAAAUGCGUAGAUAUCGGGAGGAACACCAGUGGCGAAGGCGACUACCUGGCCUGUUCUUGACGCUGAGGCGCGAAAGCUAGGGGAGCAAACGGG
rnacentral:rRNA from 1 species